rnacentral:misc_RNA from 1 species
AACAUUUAAUAAGAGACAGCAUCGUCAAACCCUGCUUCCCCCAAGACUUUCUUUUGAUGAUUUAGAUUUUUUCAUCGAUAUUUGGACUGAAGAAAAAUUGAUCUUCUCGGAAGUUGUUCCAGGCCCUGUUUUGCUGACUGGAAUCAGAGUCCCACCACCUGGAAUUUGUGAUAUACUUAGAUUUCACCUUGACGGUCCUGAUUAUAAAAUG